AGUACUAGAGGCUCUCCCUCUCGCCUCUCCAAAAUAUUUUAGCCUAUCAGACAAGUUCUUGAGAGAACUCAGACAAGUUCUUUCGUUUAGUACGAGUACAUCACAGAAGCAUCAAUGGAGGUCAACGUGAGCUUUUCAAAUGACAUGGAUGAUGAAUAUGAGAAACUCUUUAGGAGAUUGAAUCCACCCAGGGUUGUGAUUGAUAAUGAAGCUUGCAAGAAUGCUAUUGUCAUAAGGGUUGAUAGUGCUAACAAACAUGGAAUACUUCUUGAAGUUGA